UGGAAUAAAGAAAUGAAUGAUAUAAACACUCUGACUUCCAGGAACCAUAAGAACAGGGAAGUCCAGAUGCUUCUGAGAGGCUCCCAUCUCCUGAUUCCCAUAUGUGGAAGACUCAGAUCAAGGCUGUCUCUUCAGGGAACCCACUAAAAACCUACCCAGGACUAAUUUAGCUCUCCAAUGGACCACGUAUUUCUUCCUUUUUUAACACCAAGACAGAAGGGCAUCUUCCUUCUUUCCACCUCUGAUCUCUUCAUCCUCCUUUUCUCCCUCAAAAAUGGCUGUUCACUCUGAAUUAAAGGCCAAUUAGUAAGCCCUAGAGGUACUGAAGGAAUAUCUAAGAAGCAAGUGCUGUCACAACAACACUUAUGACCUCACAGAAGGAGCUAGAGCUCUCAAGGUUACAAGAGAUUUUUCAGGGAGGGCCUAAUGAUGGUGUCACUGAGAACCUCCACAUCCUACCUGCUGAACAGCUUUGCUUUCAUUGACCAAUUUUGAGAGUGCCUUUUCCAGGUUGAUGUUGCGUGCUGGCUUGCUGUCCAUUGCUUCUAUUAUGUUUCUGCAUAGGACUGACAGGAGGGUAGCAUUAUUUUCCUCUGGAAGGCACAAUGGAGCAGCCGACUGAAACAGCUGCACAGAUGCACGGCCAAACAUUGGAUGGAGCUCAGUGAGUUCCACUGGAGAGCUGAGGGAAGGGCUGGAGAAGCAGAGGAGCUUAACGGGUUUCACGAUAUUCCAUGACAAAACCAAAUUUACACAGUAUCGUUCCACAUAUCCAGUCCUACAAAGGAUAAUCAAUGGCAAAGUCCAACACAUUGUGGCAAGUAAAACCAUAGAUAAAGAAAGAAAUUAAACUUUUCUCAACAAAACAGAGAAGAGAAGCACACAAACAUAAACUAACUUCAAAUUAUGAAAAAACAGAAAGCAACCAUCACUAUUCCUAAAUAUCUCUAAACAUCAAAGAACACAAUUGCCCCCUAAAAAGACACAAAUUAGCAAACUGGAUAUGGAAUGAGGACCCAGCAUUUUGCACUACAGGGAACACAGCUCAGAGAAAAAGACAGACAUUACCUCAGACUCCAUAUUUACACAAUGUAUGGAGAAGAGUAAAUAUCCCCUUUCUUCACACAGGGCACUCUAGGUCAUACUGUCCAAAAGGAGAGGCUCCAAAAUUUUCACAUAUACAUCAGAGAAGCUAGAAUUUUCCAAAACUAAGCAGGAUUCUCUGAGUAGUACUCUAUCUCAUUAAGAGACGGUGGGACAAGAAACAUCUACUAAAGGAAUUCUACCCACAGCCACAUCUUAGGAACGGCUGGUUGAUGUGACACAUAUACAAAAGAUUUUCUUGGACAUAUUCCAUCUGUAGAGAACAUUAUGGAUCCAACUGUAUGUGAACCAGGAGUAGGUGGAACAUGAAAUGCAAACACUAGUGGCUGUAGCAUCCUUGAUAUCUGAGGAAAUUGAUUCCUUGUUUUCCAUUUGUGCAAAAGAAUGCAUAUGACCUCUGCAGGUUUCACGGGGGACUAUUUGAACUUCCUUAUCUCCUCCAGAUCAGGCCAUCUUCCCCAAAUACAGAAGAUGCUACGCACUCUUACAAAUAUGAACAAAUGGUUGCCAGUCCUUUUUUAUACCCAAAAUCGGGCCCAAAACAUCUGCAAAGUACAUCAAAUACUUUGGAUUUUACCUUAUAUUCUGAACGGGCCUUGGACCCUGUUUUGCCUACCAGUCAGGCUUUGGAACCUGCCACUUCUACACAGAACUCUAUUUCCACUUCUCCAGCAGAAGAAAUUUUUUUUGGAACUUCCUCAAUUACACAAAAAUAUCGAGAAACAUCCUUAUCUGAUCAAGAGGCUCUCAGCCCCCUCACAUAUGUCCAUGAUGCUCUAGGACAGGUCACAUCUUCUGAGGUAGUUCUAAUACCUACCCCCCAUUCUGAUAUCACAGUCAGCAUUUCUAAACAUAUACACAGUACAUUAAGACCUUCCUCAUCUGAGAAGGAUGUCUUAGGAUCUACUGCAUCUGAAAAACAUGCUUUACAACUAUCUCCAUCUACCCAAGUAGAUUUAUUUCACAUGUCCACUCUGGGGAGAAAUAGUCAACAUUCUCCCUCUACCAAAAUGGACCACAGGCAUCCAGUUUCUAGAAACAAAGGGUUAAGAUUUGAACCUUCUGAUGGACUCUUGAGAAAUUUCUCCUCUAAGGAAGACAGUUUCAACAUUACCCCUUCUGCCAAAAGGUAUCCUUUGCCAUCUUCUGCUGCCAAAGAGACACCAAAAGCUAGAAUAUUCCUCACGUGAGUCCCACACGUUCUCCAUCUGUCCAAAGGGUCUUGAAAUUUUCCAAAAAUGAUGAAGGAAUUGUGGAAAUCUGCCAAUCCUUCCAAGGGCAUGCUGGAUAUACCAUAUUGUCCCAGGAUGCUCAAGUACCUCCGCCUUCUACCAAAAAGGCAUGUUCACCAAUCUGCCCUAGGGUUUCAGGGAAUUUCUUCACCCCUCUCUAGGGUUCCAGAAAGUGUUCUCCAUCCUCAAAGUAAUUUGUCAUUGUGAAAAUUAUACUCCAAAAUACAAUAACACUUUUUAUAUUUCCAAAGGUAUGAUGGAAAGUCCACAUCGAAAAAAAAAUCAUUUGGACCUUGUGCCAUUAGCCCAAGUAUAUCAGAAAAAUUCCAUGUCCUCUAAAGCAUCAAAAAAAUCAAUCUGGUUCUAUGACUCUUCCUGGGAAACAUUUACCAUCAGCAAUAGAAUCCCCAGGACCAUCAAAAUCUAAAAAGGGGUAUCUAGAAUAUUUAUCAUCUGCCCAAAGGUCUUUAGGAUGUUCAGCAACUUCUCCAUGAGCUUGGUUAACCCAUAGAACAAAAGAACUAAAGCCAUCAUCCCAGGGUGUUUUCACAAGAACCACAUAGUUUUUCUUUUCUUUUAUGCCAAGACAUAAGGCCAGCUUCCUUCUCCCCAUCUCUGUUCUCUUUACCCUCUUUCUUCUCCCUCCCAAAUGGCUGUUUACUCUAAAUUAGAGGCCAAUUAGUAAACCCUAGAGGUACUGAAGGAAUAUCCGAGAGACAGUUGCUGUCAGGACAAUGCUAGAAACAUCACAGAACCAGUUAGGGCUCUCCAGGAUACAAGAAUAUUUCAGGCAGGACCCAGUGAUGAUGUCAGUGAGAACUUCCAUUGCCUACCUGUUAAACAGCUUUCCUUACAUUGACCAAUUUCGAGGGUGUCUUUUCCAUGACUGUCUCCUGUGACACAGUGGAAACCUUUACAUACUACAUCUCUCCAAUGCUAAGUACUUCAAUUGUUUCAUUAGGGGUUACAUUCUCUGAAUGGAGAAAGUUAGUUAGGGGCUUGGCAUGGGAAGAAAAGAUCUAGGAACAUGGAGUGGAGGAGAUUCUUCUGGAUAAUAAUUUUAUUCCCAGGUCCAUUCCUGUGACAUACACUUCAAUUUCCUAGGUUUUCUCUGUAUCUCUAAAGCAAGUAUUUUCCCUACAGACCUUCAAUUGAAUAAAUAUUGUAUUAACUAUUUUGUCUACAUUCCUUGAGAGGGGACGUUAUACAUAUUCCUGAAUGUGUACUCAAAAAUUCUGUUUUCCAAUUCAAUAUUGGCAAUGACUUUGUCAACAAAGGGGGCACAGCUAGAG